GGGCACGGGGGAAAGCGGCUUCUCGGCGAAGGUGGGCUCUACCGGCGGGCAGCAUCCCAGGGGGGCGGUGGGCUCGGACAGAAGGUGUCUGUGUCUGUGCAUCGUUGUUGGAGCGCCAGCGGUACCCGGGGGUCGGUGAGAGGCACCUGCCGCGUUACCAGGGCACCACAUCUGUGUCCGAGCGGCUGGGGUCGGGGGUCUCGUCACAGACCCCCUCGAAACUUCCACUGCUACAGAUAUACCGAUUGCUCCACUCAUUCCUUGGCCGGUUUUUGGCAAUUUUCUCUCAAAGGUUUGUCGAAAGUUUUUGGCAUCGGUACCCGGCAGGUACAAUCCCACGGUAGUGACUGCGACAUCCGUCACGACUUCCGCACGAUUUGCAUGCCAGAGAUGGCACCAUUCUAAACUUUCUUCCCUCUCUAGUGUAAAUGAGGGCAAAAUAUUAUUUGCCAUAUAGUUAUUUGGAGAAGAGUGCAUCCAUCAGGCUGUGGUUUCUAUGGGGUUAUGCAAGUUUCGUGUUUAAACAGAGUGAAAAUGAGCCAAUACUAAUAUUUGUCAACGUGUUUCAGGAUGUUCAUACCUUAUAUUUACUAUAUACCAAACCCCCAAAAAAUGUAAUGAGAGGUUGUGUUAAUAAUAUCGAAUUAAAUUAAUAAUAAUUACAGUAUGCUUAAAACCAGAUUGUGCUAAAAGGAAAAUAAAUAUUUGAUUCUUUGGCAUAAACAACAAAAAAAAGCAUUUUAAACAUUCUAUAUUGUGUUCACAAAUUUUCUUUAGUUUCUAACCAUUUUGGUUGUAUACAAAAUGAUUAAUAUAAUAAAUAAAACUAGGUAAGCCAGACUACGUUGCGAAUUGCUAUUAUUUAAAUUAUUAAAAUAAAAUCCUUGGAUUAAUGUUCAUUCCAACAACUGUGGAAAUAUUCUCCUUUUAAUUUACUUAUUUUCAAAACAGAAACUAAAAUAUAUUAGAGCUGACUUCAUUUCAUAGUAAGAAGAGUUCGUAUUAGAACAACUGUCUGCAUAUCCUUGCUGUAAUGUGCCACUACCUGAAGCAGAUAAAAAUGAACAAGGAAGCUCCUGAAUUUGCAGUUUUUUUUCCUUGCCCUCUUUAUAACUGCUGCUACUAUACUCGUUUUCUCGUAUGGAUCAUCCAUUUUCUGGUGCUACAUCUUUCCAGACACACUCACACUCAGGUUUAUUCUUCUUCAGUAGUUCCUAGAUAUACUGACAACGUCAGCUUUUUUUUUUUUUUUAGUAGGCUUUCUUAAAAGUUGCUUUCAACUUCAGAAAACAGCUAAGCUCUUUCUGGGCAGGUCAGCUCCAGUGAUAUUAGGCAUCAGCUUCUGUGGACCUCUAAGAAUUCACGCAGGAUAAAAAGUGAAUUAUUAGACGUGAAAUCAUCAUCAAAUUGGUUCUAAAGCCAUUGAAAUUGGUGCAACUGAUUUUUAGCGGAGGAGAAUUUGGCUCAGUUGUUCAAGUUACAAGAAUGUGUGGCUGCUUGUUUUAAAAUGCAGCUCUCAAAUUCACCUCUUGUUAAACUUACAUAUAAAUACACGGCAGGUAAAGACAAGCUAUAUCCAGAUUUUUCAAAGUAAUUUAAGGGGGGCAGAGGAAUCUGAUCAACUUAAAAUUGUUUACUCUCAAAUUUAUUAGUGUUCCAGCCGUGCAGCUGUACGGAACAUAAUUAUCAGACGAAAAAGUCUUGCCAAGAGCCUGAAGCCUUACAAUAGGGGAUGAAACACUUAAAAUCCUGCUUAAUUAUUCUGGCCAAAUGAAAUGUUUAAUUGUAUUUCCGUUUUUCCUCUAAUGAUUUUCUCUCCCCAGAACUCUCACCGCGAAUAAUACACCUGCAUUGCUGAGCAAAACAGUAGGCCACUCUGAAAACUACCUGUCCAAACAGUGAGAGAUGGGAUCGGGAUACUCGGUUUGACCCGAAGUCUUUAAAAUUGGGUAACAUCUCCCUCCCAAACUAUCCUGUGGUCCUAUGAUUCCACGAUUCUGAGAUUCUGUGAUUCUAAGAUCGGAAAAUUUGGACCCACGCGGGACGCCCACGGCGGGAGGGACACGGUGAUAUCCACGUGGUUUCUGUGUGGGUGAGGAAGGGGAGCUGUGAGCCCGUCCGACUUCAAAAACGAGACUCGCUAAAGACCGAGGGGCUAAGGAAUGAUUCAGCCUUCGGUGAUCGUGGAUCGGCCGCCAGGGGCCCAACAGGAGGUGGGAAUCAACACUGUGUAGGAGCAAGCUUGUAAUCCCCACUCGGGCAGGGAAGGAGGUGUCUCUGUGGUGCUGCAAACACCCCCGUAACCUGCGGUGCUCUGA